UGAUUUUCUCAAGCACAGCAGACAUAUCGUGAGAUGAGAGGUUCUCAGGGGAACAUUGUCAGAGCGACUCUGGGAGAGGAACACUACGUAACUUUGUCGCACACAGAACUGCACUGAGAUGAGAGAAUCUCAUUCUGUCCCUGAACCAUCCUAGCACAUCUCUGCCCAGAAGAGAAUUAUCCCUAAAAGGUCCAUCAUCAUUCUGCUUAGAUGCACAGAUUCCACACUUCUUGUGUUUCAACUGUUCCUGAUCCUGACUGAGCAGGAUAUUUAGAAAGGGCAUCUUGGACCAAGGACAAUGGGAGCCACAUCAUGUCCUGACUUGCAUUCCCUCAACUCUUCCUGUUGAGAGCACUCCUUUAGCAGCCUCCACUCUUCUUGCUUCGCCUGCCCGCCUGCCUGCCUGCCUUUUCAGCUGUUUGCUCAGAAGCUGGGCUCUGUUUGCUGAGCCCUUAUUCAUUUUCAUAUUGCUGGGAUAUUCUCAGCUCCUCCCCUGGGCCUUUGGGAGAACUUCAAGUGGCAAGAAGCACACUGGGCCAUCAAGAUUAAAAAUUUACGAGAA